rnacentral:lncRNA from 1 species
GGGACCUGGGGAGCGAGAAGCGGGAGGCGCCUACAGCUCGAGAAGAUGUUCACUAGAGCAGGCUCUCGAAGAGAAGACAGACGCCAGCAAAAAAUCAGAAAUGAAGUAGGACGCCUGAAGGGGGGAGGACGGGUUUAAAUAGACCCUGAGAUCCGGUGCCAUAAUGAUCGCGAAUCCCCCCAGGCCAGUCCACACCCGACACGUGUCCCACUCCCCC